CUCAGAUCUUUCUUUAUAGCAACACAAGAACAGCCUAAUACACUCUUCAGGCCUCGAUUUCUUUAAUAAAAUAAGGACAGUAAGAGUGCCCGCUGCGGGGCUUGAAUGGGAUUGUUACCACCUUUCCCUCUGCUCCUCAGAGUUCAGAUGUAGACUCAGAAGUUAGAUGGAUCAACCCAAAUCACUAGUUUCAUUACUGAGAAAACUCAGUUGAAGAAUGCAGGUGGAUUUGGGGGUAGAAUCGGGCUUUCCACUUCUUCCUCCUCACAACUAACACUGUCUUGUUCCAUCUCUCUCACCCGCCAAUCCCACAACCAAUUCUGUUCCAGUAGGCUUACUCCUGGGAGGAACAAAUGAUUCGUGCAUCUGGGCAGGCCUCAAGGAAAUAGAGAUGGCAGAGGGGCGAGAGUCCUGCAGGAGUCCUCUGCGAAGCAGUGAGCAAGGGGAGGUUGAGAGAGAGGCCUGGGAGCCAGUGGACAUCUCUUUCUUUCUAGGUGGGAAUGUAAGGAGUGAGGGAGGAAAAUGCUUCUUGACAUCUACCUUGUAGAUCUGAAGGAAAUUACUCCAGAUUAUCUGGGUGGCCCCAGUGUAAUCAGGAGAGAGCCCUGCCUCUUAGUUGACACCUCGAUUUUGGACUUCCAGCCUCCAGAACUGUGAGAGAAUAAUACAUUUCCGUAGUUUUAAGCUAUUUGGACUCUGAUACUUUGUUACAGCAACCCUGGGAAACUAAUAUAAUCAGCCAUCUCCUUAAAUGCCAAGCAACAAGUGCCUUUAUUGAGAGACACCCUGUAGUCUCAGCUACUAGGGAGGCUGAAGUGGGAGGACUGCUUGAGCCCAAGAGUUUGAGGCUGCAGCGAGCUAUGCUUGCACCACUGUACUCCAGCCUGGGUGACAGAACGAGACCUUAUCUCUGUCUUAAAAAAAAAACUAUCUUGUUUUGUAAAAAUUAAGUCUCCAUAAGAAGCGAAUAUACUAUUGAUAACUCUUACAUAAUAUUGCUCUGGAACAUGACAUUUUCCUAUUAAAACCAUUUGUGACUAAUAGCACUACAGAGUUUCUAUCCUCUUUUCUUGAAUGCAUGUCAUGUUGUUUGUGGUUAAGCUUUUUUAUAUAAAGGCAUUGAUUUCAAAAAAUCAUGUAAUAUGGUGGUUGGAGAAUUACUAUAAUUUUUAUUUUGUAGGCCCCUACCCAAGACCCAAGCAGCAUGUUCAGAUAUUGUUUGGGUAAGAAAAAGAGACACUUAGAAAACCCCUCAACCUCAAAAUUAAUGCUUUGAUUGGAACAG
rnacentral:lncRNA from 1 species